UUCACCGUCUUUGUAACCCAAUCAAAUUAAAAUCGGUGUCAUUCUUCUUCACCGCCUAUCUGUUGGUUACUUUAUUUUGCUCUCAGAUUUUACUUUCCGAUAUUCCACCACCGCUCACUUUAUCCUCCCCAAAUCGAGUUCCUCCCUUCUUCUACCUUUUGCUACCUCCGCCGCUUCUCAGCUGUGCUUUGCCAAAAUUUUCAGUCGAGGAUUUCCACUACCUCCACUGCUUCUUAGUUGCAUUGUGCUUUGCCAAAAUUCUCAGUCGGGGAAUUCCAAAUUUCAAGCCUUGCGAUUUUGGUGGAAAAGUAUUGGUUCACAACAAACCUAGAUCGAUUAUUGAGAUGCUUCUCGAACCUUUUGAUAACCACCCCACCGAUUCAUUGAUUGUUCUCCACCGCCUUAUCUCAUGUAUUUGAUUUUUUUCUCACUGCCUCCAUCAGAGGCUCACACGCUCUCCACCGGUCAUCCUCCUACUACAGACUUUUUUUUUCUCUUCAUCCCUCUCUCUCUCUCUCUGCAAUCGAUUCGAUUUUGCUUCUCUUCUACUUUCAUUUUCCUCUCUUACUCCAUUUCUGCUGUAAUAGAAUCCUUAGAGAUAUAAAAAUGUCGAUCCCUUCCACUCAUGUCGUCUUUUCUGUGCCCUUUUAUUCCAACUCGAAUCUCAGGUCUCAUCGGUAAGGUAAGGAAGUAACAUAGCUUCAAACCUAGGAGCCAAAGUUAGAACCACUUACUACUAUUUGUCGAUUUUCUGUAUCUGGUCGUCGUCACCAUCAAACCCAAUUUUUCACUGGGUUUUUAUUUUUGUCGCAAGUUACUUUUGCAGUUGUUGCACACACCAACUGCUGGAUAUAUUGCUCCAAAGAAUAAUCAUCUUUUUACUUUCUUUUGAUGCCAUUAUAUAAUGUUUCAUUUCAUGAUUUCAAUACAGGUAUGUGACAGAACAGGAGAAUAAAAUUCUCUCUAAUUUAGGUUAGCACUAUCGAGAGGACACCAUCAAUGACUUUACUGAGUUAAAUACUUCUUGGGGCUUUUCACUUUUGUUAAAAAUCAAACACAUUUAUCUAAAAAUAUGUCAUUUUUAACAUGUUGGUAUUUUUUAAAGAACACCUUAAAUAAAAUGAUCUUUCCUUUGUAUUCA